rnacentral:rRNA from 1 species
AUACAUGCAAGUCGUACGCUUCUUUUUCCACCGGAGCUUGCUCCACCGGAAAAAGAAGAGUGGCGAACGGGUGAGUAACACGUGGGUAACCUGCCCAUCAGAAGGGGAUAACACUUGGAAACAGGUGCUAAUACCGUAUAACAAUCGAAACCGCAUGGUUUUGAUUUGAAAGGCGCUUUCGGGUGUCGCUGAUGGAUGGACCCGCGGUGCAUUAGCUAGUUGGUGAGGUAACGGCUCACCAAGGCCACGAUGCAUAGCCGACCUGAGAGGGUGAUCGGCCACAUUGGGACUGAGACACGGCCCAAACUCCUACGGGAGGCAGCAGUAGGGAAUCUUCGGCAAUGGACGAAAGUCUGACCGAGCAACGCCGCGUGAGUGAAGAAGGUUUUCGGAUCGUAAAACUCUGUUGUUAGAGAAGAACAAGGAUGAGAGUAACUGUUCAUCCCUUGACGGUAUCUAACCAGAAAGCCACGGCUAACUACGUGCCAGCAGCCGCGGUAAUACGUAGGUGGCAAGCGUUGUCCGGAUUUAUUGGGCGUAAAGCGAGCGCAGGCGGUUUCUUAAGUCUGAUGUGAAAGCCCCCGGCUCAACCGGGGAGGGUCAUUGGAAACUGGGAGACUUGAGUGCAGAAGAGGAGAGUGGAAUUCCAUGUGUAGCGGUGAAAUGCGUAGAUAUAUGGAGGAACACCAGUGGCGAAGGCGGCUCUCUGGUCUGUAACUGACGCUGAGGCUCGAAAGCGUGGGGAGCAAACAGGAUUAGAUACCCUGGUAGUCCACGCCGUAAACGAUGAGUGCUAAGUGUUGGAGGGUUUCCGCCCUUCAGUGCUGCAGCUAACGCAUUAAGCACUCCGCCUGGGGAGUACGACCGCAAGGUUGAAACUCAAAGGAAUUGACGGGGGCCCGCACAAGCGGUGGAGCAUGUGGUUUAAUUCGAAGCAACGCGAAGAACCUUACCAGGUCUUGACAUCCUUUGACCACUCUAGAGAUAGAGCUUCCCCUUCGGGGGCAAAGUGACAGGUGGUGCAUGGUUGUCGUCAGCUCGUGUCGUGAGAUGUUGGGUUAAGUCCCGCAACGAGCGCAACCCUUAUUGUUAGUUGCCAUCAUUCAGUUGGGCACUCUAGCAAGACUGCCGGUGACAAACCGGAGGAAA